CAUCUGUUCAGGAGCUGUGUAUUCAAUUGAUGUAUUUUAAACGUUGAUGUGUAAAACUUCUUAUUUUUGUAUCAGUUGGAGAAUGAAAGGAAAAAGGUGAAGAAGAUAGUAGAGUUAAAACAUUCAGUGGAUAUACGACUAGAUCAAGAAAUGAAGAGAAACAAUGAAUUACAAAAAGAAUGCCUUGGGACUAGAAAAUUUCUGAAAAUAGCGAAAAAUAAACUAAAGGAGUAUGACAAUAG
rnacentral:lncRNA from 11 species